GACGAACGCUGGCGGCGUGCUUAACACAUGCAAGUCGAACGGUGAAGCAGGAGCUUGCUCCUGUGGAUCAGUGGCGAACGGGCGAGUAACACGUGAGCAAUCUGCCCUGGACUCUGGGAUAAGCGUUGGAAACGACGUCUAAUACCGGAUACGAGGCGUGGGGGCAUCCCCAACGCCUGGAAAGAACUUCGGUCCAGGAUGAGCUCGCGGCCUAUCAGGUAGUUGGUGAGGUAACGGCUCACCAAGCCUACGACGGGUAGCCGGCCUGAGAGGGUGACCGGCCACACUGGGACUGAGACACGGCCCAGACUCCUACGGGAGGCAGCAGUGGGGAAUAUUGCACAAUGGGCGCAAGCCUGAUGCAGCAACGCCGCGUGAGGGACGACGGCCUUCGGGUUGUAAACCUCUUUUAGCAGGGAAGAAGCGAAAGUGACGGUACCUGCAGAAAAAGCACCGGCUAACUACGUGCCAGCCGCCGCCGUAACAC
rnacentral:rRNA from 1 species